rnacentral:lncRNA from 1 species
UUUUUUGUCAUCUGUAUUAACAUUAAAACCAAAAUUACAAAGGCUAAAGUCAAAGACAACAAGCCCAAAGGCAAAAGGAAAAAGCCACGCGAGGCCCACAAACCCAAAUAAAAAAGAAGCCCUAGGAAGAAAGUAAGCGACUCCACGCGUUAACUGAUAGCGUGGCAGGGACACGUGCCCACCUUGCGAGUCACCACCGACUUCAGCGACAAGAUCGACUCCGACGAAGCUCUAGUCGGCGAAUCCACCAGAAACAAACCGGAACAGGAUACCGUUCGAAGAGACUCGGUGGAAACGAUAGAAGGAGAUGAAAGCGCCACCAUUUACACCGCUUUAGACUUUCGAAAACUGAAGUUUUUAGAUUGAACAAAUCAAACCAUCAAUCCUCCUCCGAAAGCCACCUGAGCAACGAAAUAGAGUUCCAAUCAAAACGAUCGAUCUCAAACCAGCCGAGAGGAAACUGAUUGAAACAGGGAAGACGCGAAAAAGCAGAGAUCACCAAACCCAGGAAAGCCCUGGAGAUAAAUGCCAUCUACGCCAUAAGAGAACGCUUGAGGCGAAGCCAAGAGCCGACGAGUACACCGGAGCCGCUGGUGUGUCUUCGGAGCCAAAAGCCAACGGCGUCACCAAAAGAAGAGCCCGCCGUCGGAGACAUAAGCCAGCCAAUCGAUGUUGAAGAAACCAUCGACUGCCGGAACAGACUCUCGCUCUGCGGAACCACCGUCUCACUCUCUCUGUGAAAGAUCUAGAGAGAGAACGGAGAGAGGGGAGAAGUGAUAGAAGCAACUAAAUUAAUAUGUUUUAAAAAUAAAUAAAUUACACAAAAAAAAAAAAAAGGGAGAAAGAUCGUAGGAAAUAUUUUAUGUGGUUUUUUUUUUUUUUUUUUUUUAACUUGGUUGGGC